GCAGCGACGCCGCGUGGGGGAUGACGGCCUUCGGGUUGUAAACCUCUUUCAGUAUCGGCGAAGCUCCCAGGUUUUCUUGGGGGUGACGGUAGGUACAGAAGAAGCACCGGCCAACUACGUGCCAGCAGCCGCGGUAAUACGUAGGGGGCGAGCGUUGUCCGGAAUCAUUGGGCGUAAAGCGCGUGUAGGCGGCUCGAUAAGUCUGCUGUGAAAGUCCAGGGCUCAACCCUGGAACGCCGGUGGAAACUGUCGAGCUAGAGUCCGGAAGGGGCGAGUGGAAUUCCUGGUGUAGCGGUGAAAUGCGCAGAUAUCAGGAGGAACACCGAUGGCGAAGGCAGCUCGCUGGGACGGCACUGACGCUGAGACGCGAAAGCGUGGGGAGCAAACAGGAUUAGAUACCCUGGUAGUCCACGCCGUAAACGAUGGGUACUAGGUGUAGGGGGUGUCGACUCCCCCUGUGCCGACGCUAACGCAUUAA
rnacentral:rRNA from 1 species